rnacentral:rRNA from 1 species
GACGAACCGUGCGAACGUUGUUCGGAUUCACUGGGCUUAAAGGGCGCGUAGGCGGGCGAUCCAGUCGGGGGUGAAAGUUUUCGGCUCAACCGGAAAAGGGCCUCUGAUACGGGUCGUCUCGAGGGAGGUAGGGGCAUGCGGAACUUCCGGUGGAGCGGUGAAAUGCGUAGAUAUCGGAAGGAACGCCGGUGGCGAAAGCGGCGUGCUGGACCUCUUCUGACGCUGAGGCGCGAAAGCCAGGGGAGCGAACGGG